UACGAAGGACCCAAGCGUUAUCCGGAUUUAUUGGGUUUGAAGGGUGCGUAGGCGGGUUAUUAAGUCAGUGGUGAAAGCCUGCAGCUUAACUGCAGAAUUGCCAUUGAUACUGAUGAUCUUGAGUAUGAUUGAGGUGGGCGGAAUGUGUCAUGUAGCGGUGAAAUGCUUAGAUAUGACACAGAACACCGAUUGCGAAGGCAGCUCACUAAGCCAUAACUGACGCUGAUGCACGAAAGCGUGGGGAGCGAACAGG
rnacentral:rRNA from 1 species